CUUUUGUUUAAUGGACCUUAAGUCCUAAGUAAAUAUGUUGGAGAGACUGAAAAGAAUGUAAGGGACCUGUUUGCUGAUGCUGAGAAUGACCAACGGACUCCGGGUGAUCAAAGUGAUCUGCAUGUUAUCAUUUUUGAUGAAAUUGGUGCUAUUUACAAGAUUAUAGAAGUUAGGAGCCCUUGAGUGGAACAAAGUGGUAUUGAGUAUUGAGUACAAUACUAUUCCAACAAGGUGAGUAUUGAGUACAAUCAUUGCAUUUUUUUUCAUGCAGUGAUUGCACCAUUCAUGGGAUUUUAGCUGCAUUUAUUUAGUCCAUCCAUCUUGUUAUCACAGUGGUUUUACUGAUAGUUAGGUAAGUGCCAGUGUAUGUAUUUCAGUCGGCAUAUUUACGGGAUUAAAAAAAGCAAAAAGUUUUACUAUUUUAGUAAUCUUCAUACCAUUUGUCCAACUUUGUUCAUUUAGUUCGCGAAGGAUUAUGGUUAAACCCCAAUUUAAACCUGAUAAG